UNUUCCUACACUGGACCUACACUGUCCAUCA
rnacentral:piRNA from 1 species